rnacentral:rRNA from 1 species
UACAGAGGGUGCAAGCGUUGUUCGGAAUUAUUGGGUUUAAAGGGCGCGUAGGCGGCGUGUCAAGUCAGGCGUGAAAGCCCCGGGCUCAACCUGGGAACCGCAUUGGUGACUGGCGGGCUAGAGUAUGGCAGAGGGGGGUAGAAUUCCACGUGUAGCAGUGAAAUGCGUAGAGAUGUGGAGGAAUACCGAUGGCGAAGGCAGCCCCCUGGGCCAAUACUGACGCUCAUGCACGAAAGCGUGGGGAGCAAACAGG